rfam:Gossypium hirsutum cultivar TM-1 chromosome 19, whole genome shotgun sequence
AACCCAUGAUGAAGCCUCCUACUCCAUAAAUCUUUGUAUCUCUCUCAUGCAUCAUAUAAUGUCUCUAAGUCAAUCUGGAUAAAAGAAGAAAUGUUAUUCCUCGACU